CAAAAUGCUAUUAAAUCAACAAUGGUAUGUAACUAUGUUUAUGCAUCACCUCAUAUAAAGUGAACAUAUUUGAUAAAGGGUAAAAUGCUCAAAACUGUAAUGUUUAAGUUUUUCAUAUACAUAUAUAUGUUUGUGUGUGAGAGGUGUAAUUCAAAAGAAAAAGAAAAAGAAAAAGAAAAAGAAAAGAAAAUUCAAACAAAAUGGGUGGGACCCACUAUCACUCUUAAGUGGUCAUGAGACCACUAUUGUUGGUAUGAUUCUCUCUAUCUAUGCCUCUGCGCGUUCUCUCUCUCUCUCUCUCUCUGCUUCCAUUUUUUUUUUCUUUUGCUUUACAACUUUGAAGCUCGAUUCCUCUUUCGAUACUAAGUGAUUUUGAGUGAUGUUUGCGGCAAAACGAAGAGCAUGGCGAGCUCUACAUGUGUGUACCAGUAAUUUCAGUUUUGAGCAACCUAGGGAGUCCGAAAAUCUUGACCCAUUUUGAGGGUUUGAGAUGAAAAUUGGGGGUUUUGCAUAUAAUAGAGGAAACGGGAAAGAAGUGGCGGAUGACGUUAUACCACAUACUUAGUAUGGAUUAUGAGCUUAUUUUGUUGUUUUUGUACUUCGGUCUCACUAUUUUUGUAAGACUAAGUAUAAUAUAUUUUGUACGACGACUUAUUUGAAUAUUAUAAUUAUACCUAUGGGUUGUAACUUUUAUAUAAGCUGUCUAAAUGUUGUAAAGUAUAGACAUUUGAUCUUACUCUUGUAUUUUGGGACUGUAAUUAUGAUAUGUGGAUUCGAGAUGACUA